GGAGUUGUGGCUCAGUGGUAGAGCACUUGCCUGGCAUGUGUGCAACCCUGGGUUCAAUCCUCAGCGCCG
rnacentral:tRNA from 1 species